ACCCGGCGCCCAGCUGCUGCCGGCGGAGACUCCCAGGAGCUCCGGAGAGGAACCCUCCGAAGGUGACUUCAGAACUGGAGGUAGGAAAUCGGCUUCUCAGGCGAAAGCCUCAGGUUUUCUGAUCUGAUCCAGGUCGGGUGCAGACUGGGGCUGAAUCCACAAAUGUGGAGAUUUAGCCACAGCCUCGGAGGCGCGGAGCGGCCACCUAAGCGUCUGCCCUUCUCGUCUCCCGGAUCACUGGGGUGUGUUGUUUUUAAAGUGGGGGAUUUGCGUGUUGAGAGACGGUUUGUGUUCCUCGGGAGGAGUAAGUGACUUGGAGCUGGUUUGUCAAUGGCUGGACGGAAGGAGGCGCCCCGGCUGUGUGUGACGGGCAGGGAAGGGGUGCCCAGAGGGGACAGGUAAUAGGGGGUUCCGGAGCCACGGCGGUUUCAGAACCUUGGGGCCUGUGCCGUUGAAGCCCCGGUAGGGGCGGGGGGCAUGGCAGCAGCCCGGGAAAUCUGUCAUACUGUCCCCCAUCCCUCGCUAGCAGCAGAAUGACUGAGACGGAGCAAAGCUGCUUUCUCUACCCGCGGGAACUGUGGAUGAUUUCACAAGAAGUCGUGAUGGCAUUUGGAGACAGAUCUUUGCCCCCAAAUUACUAAACAGCCUGCUUGGACAACAGCCCCACCACUGAUUCCCAAAAUGUUUUGAUCAUAGGAUCCACAAAUCAAAGAUAUUUAAAGAUGCAGGAUGUUUGGAAAGAGAAUGGCAUUUUCUGUCCUGUAGCUCCUCUCUACUAGGUAGUUGAUAAACACCAGAAGUGAAAUGAAGUCAGUCUUGUCUCAUGAGAUGGAGGGAAAGAAGGCGGUAACUACAGCUGUCAUCCUGGGAACCAUGUCUGGGAGAAAAAGACUGUGAAUGUGAAUUGCAAGGGCCUCAUCUCGUCCCCAGCUGCUAAUCUGGCCAUUGAAUGCUAACCUGUAGGCCUCCGUGGCUCCUUUUGCUGAGAUGUUAAUGGAGUUGAGAGGAUACGGGACCCACCCACAGUUAAUCCAGGAUCUUCAGUCAAACCCAAGGCCCCUGGGUGCAGCUGCAGGACUCACAGACAGGAUGGCCUCUGGGGAAAGAGGCCUGUGUCAGGUCUUAAGGAAGAAAAAGAGUUCUCAGAGCGGGCCACAAACAAAAGAAACAAGAAAGGGAAAGUGAUGGGGUUCGGAAUCGAAGUGAAUUUAAGGCUUAUCUGGGCCCUCACCCUCUCUGAGCCUGCAUUGCUGGGUGUAAUUGCCAGCCUCCCUCUUAUCUAGAGUGAAGGAAAGAUGGUCUAAGAGCAGCAAAGUCACCAAACUGCCUUUCUGCCUCCUCACGUCCCUAAAUUUCCCAGCGGCGCACCUGGCACGUAGUAGCGCUUCCCUUGAGCCUCUGUUCCUGCUAAUCUCUGUCACACUUAGGGAUGGUGUCGUUGAAGAGAAUGGUGAGUCCAUUGCACUGUUUCCUGGGACAUCAAGGUCGCUUACCUGCUCUCCCCUUUUGCCUUCUUCAUCGUCUUCUGUUUCCCAGAGGUUUGGCCAAGUGCUUGUUGCUCUGCCCUCCAGAGGGUGGGUGCUUCCUGAUUUUACUGGAUUUUCAUUCCGGAAUCAGACUUAUAGCGUGAGCUUCCCUCCUUAUCAAAACUAUAUAUAUAUAUAUAUAUAUAUAUAUAACUUUAAAAAGUCAAAUAUGUCUACAAGGCUUAUAACUAGGGACAGUACUCACUCACCUUACCUCUUACCAACUUCCAGUUCUUUGUCUUUUCUAGAGGCGUGGUCUUGUUAUGUUGCCCUGGCUGGUCUCAAACUCUUGGGCUGCCUCAGCAAACCUCCUGCCUCAGCCUCCCAAAGUGCUGGGAUCAUAGGCGUGAGUCACCACACUCAGCCUCAACUUCCACUUCUGUGCCCCAGAGACAACCAUUUUCAACUCUUUGCACUUAUUUCUAGUUAGCAAGUACAUACUGCCCACUGGGUCCCUCCCUCAUGAGAACUCUGUCCUCCUCCGCUUGCCGCUCUUGAGGCCAGUUGCACAUCCAUCAUUGUGGGGUCUCCUCUCACUGUUAUUAUGAGAAUUUAUUUUGCUGAUUUCUCAUGUAGCAUCCCGUGUGUUUUAGACCCCAUGUCUUCCUUUUUCUUUACAUUCUUUUGCUGGUAAAAUACACCUUCCAGAAGUUCCUGAGAAAGAGGACAUGGGAGGCAAGUUUUUUGAGAUCCUCCAAGGUUGACAUAGGUUGCAUGGAGUAGGAACUCUAGGUUGGAAAUCCCUUUCUCUCAGAAGUUAGAAAGCAUUGCUUUUCUAGAUUUCAGAAUUGCCAUUGAGAUGUGUGGUGUCAUUCUAAAGGCUUAUGCUUUGAAUGGAUAUCCCCUCCUGAAAGUUCUUAGGAUUUCCUCGUCAUCCUCUAAUAUUCUCUCUGUUGUCAUGAAGUUUCAUUGUAAGACUUGGUGUGAGUCUUUUCCCAUCCAUUUUACUAGGCUUCCAGUGGGCUUUCUCAAUCUAGAAACUCUGCCCUUCCAUUCUGAACAGUUUGCUAGAGUUUUGUUGGUUUCGUGUGUGUGUAUUUUUAUUUUUAUUUAUUUAUUUUGGAGAUGGAGUCUCGUUGUCACCCAGGCUGGAGUGCAGUGGUGCGAUCUCAGCUCACUGCAACCCCUGUCUCCCGGGUUCAAGUGAUUCUCCUGCCUCACACCCCGAGUAAUUCGGACUACAGGCAUGCACCACCACACCCAGCUAAUUUUUGUAUUUUUAGUAGAGACGGGAUUUCACUGUGUUGGCUAGGCUGGUCUCGAACUCCUGAACUCAGGUGAUCUGCCCGUCUUGGCCUCCCACAGUGCUAGGAUUACAGGUGUGAGCCACCGCACCUGGCCUUUUUUUGUGUGUUUUUAGUAGAGGCGGGGUUUCACCAUGUUGGCCAGGCUGGUCUCGAACUCCUGACUUCAGGUGAUCCGCCCAUCUUGGCCUCCCAAAGUGCUGGGAUUAUAGGCAUGAGCCACCGUGCCCAGCCAGUUUCCUAGAGUUUAAAAACAAAAAAAUUCCUUCCUUCUCCUCUGGGACACCCAGUUAAUUGGAAGGAGACCCGCAUGGAUUGACUCUCGAAUUUUCUUACUUAAACCUCCUUUGCAAAAAUUAGUACAGCUAUGAUAGUGAAAGAGAUGUGAUCUGACUCCAUCUUGCUUCUAACCUCCAGGUUGUCCUGAUUCAUUCCUGAGUGUAGGCCAAACUAACUUUGGGAGGAACUUAGUUUAUAGUUUAACUUUGAAACAAAGAUGAUUACAGCCCUUUCCCAAAACAAAUCUCCUUAUUGCCUGGGGACCAGACUGCCUUUGUAGGACUAACAAAUUAGCCAUAAGAUUUGCAGCUUGAUAACAUCACUAUUGUAGAACCUAAGGUUGGCCUUUUGAGAUGUCUUUUCAGGUUUUUGCAUUUCUCUUUUCCUUCCUUCAUCCCUCCCUCCCUCCCUUCCUCCCUUCCUCUUUAUGAGAUGGAGUCUCCCUCUGUUGCCCAGGCUGGAGUGUAGUGGCAUGAUUUCAACUCACUGCAACCUCUGCCUCCCGGGUUCAAGUGAUUCUUGUGCCUCAGCCUCCCAAGUAGCUGGGACCACAGGCAUGCAUCACCUUGCCCAGCUAAUUUUUGUAUCUUUAGUAGAGUCGGGGUUUCACCAUGUUGCCCAGGCUGGCCUUGAACUCCUGACCUGAAGUGAUCCGCCUCAGCCUCCCAAAGUGCUGGGAUUACAGAUGUGAGCCCCCGAGCCCAGCCAAGGUUUUUGCAUUUCUGACAACUAGUGGCUUCACCUAGACCUGCCAAGUGGUCCUGUGGCCCCACCCAGAAGUGGACUCAGCAUGAGGACCAUUUUCCACACCCCUAUGAUUGAAUCCCCAACCAAUCAGCAGCACCCAUUCCCUAGCCACUCCCUCCCCCAAACUAUCCUUAAAAAAACAUAGCCUUCAAAUUUUCAGAGAGACUGAUUUGAGUCAUAAAACCCCCCAUUCUCUUGGCUGGCUCUGUGUCAAUUAAACCUUCUCUAUUGCAAUUCCCCUGUCUUGAUAAAUUGGCUCUAUCUGGGCAGCAGGCAAAAUGAACCUGUUGGGUGGUUACAUUACCCUUUUUCUUAUACUUUCUAUCUCCUUUUAAAAAAAACAUUUCUACUUCCUGGGAAAUUUCCUCAUUUUUGUCUUCCAACCCAUAUGUUCAGUUUUUAUGUCUGUCAUCAUAUUUGUAAUUCCCAAGAAAGCCUUAAAAAUAUCUGAAAUUUUCUUUUUAUAACCUCCUGUUACUGUUUCUUGGAUGAAAAGCUUCUCAAUUCUCUGUAGAUCUCAAUUACAGCUAUCUUUGAAGCAUUUCUCUACUCCCUGCACUCUUUGUUUCCUCUGAUUGCUAGUUUUUUGUUUGUUUGUUUGCUUUUGGUUUUUAAUCACUUCCACAUUAAAGGCUUUCUUCAAAUGUCUGAUGAUCCUUGACUGAUCACUCACUAAAAAGCUAACUGGAAGGUCUACAUAGAUGAAAUAUACCCAAGAAUAGUUCCUUCUUACUAAGAAGGAGGCAUAGAACAAUGUCUCAGAAUCUAGAACAAUGCCUGGCACACACUAACCUUUCCAUACAUGUAAUAUUUGCUGAGUAACUGAAUGACAUACACUCUUGCUGGGGCCCCGGGUAGUUGCCAGUAUUAAAAGCUCUCAGGUGAUUGAAAUCUGCGGCUAGCACAGAGGACCUCUGCUGUAGGAUUAGCUCAUUGGUGGUUUCAUUGGAGGAUUCACACCUGAUAGUGGAAAGUCUUUGUUCUCUGGAGAAACUGGGUGAAGAGAAAUCCCCUACACUGAGGGGAGUUGGUUGGCUGCAGUGUUCUGGGAACCAGAUGAGAAGGAGACUUGAAGUCUAACUAUUUGGUAUGAUGACUGUCUUAUUCACCUGUUUUUUCGCCCCUGCCUCAGCUAUACCUGGUGUCACUGAGUCCAGAGUUGCCGAGACACAGCAGAGCACACAGAUUGCAGAAUUUCAGCCUUCACUUGGUACCUAGGGCCAAGGUGAUUUAGGGUCCCUUCCGCCUCAGUGCAUGUUGCCCCCAAUUCCAGAGGCGCUCUAGGGCAUAAAUCCCAAACUGGCUUUCCACACUGCUGUGCUAGGUUUUCACUUUCUCCCACCUGCUAAGUUACCACUAGUUUGUCUACAUUCCAGCUUCCAAAAUUGUGUUGCAAUCAUUGUUUCUCCUGUUCUCUGUAUCUUUGAGAGGCUAGCAAUCCUCCCUUUACCCUCACUCAUGUCAGACCAUUGUGUUUACUGGCAAAUGAGUCUCCCUGCCUGAUGUCCCAACUUUGCCCCAGAACCCUCCUCUCAGUUUCUCCUUCUGUUGCAGGUGCCCACUCGGGGCCACAUUUCAGGUAGGCUACAUCGAACUUUCAUCUCAGCAGUAGUCAUUAAAAACCAGCCGCUGAAGAAUGGUGGCUGUUGGUCAUUCCUGUUGGCAUGGUAGCGUCUUCUUCAUUGGAUCAUUAUGCUGCUGCUUCUGUACGGAGUAUUGGGCAGAAGGCAUUUCUGAACAUAUUUGAUGCUAUGACUUAUCAGGGUUCUGUCUGUGUGGAUAACUGUACAGCACAUUAACUUUGAAAUAUGUCCAUUUCCUUCUUUGGCCCUCAGUAGCAGCCCAUUGCGUGGUGGUGUGGUCAGGUGGACAUGGAAGCAUUGUUCUCUGAGAUGAUUAGCCCAUUCAGGUCACAUAUCUCCAUUCCAUGCCCCAGAGACAAGCAUAGGAAAGAGCUCGCUAUCAAAGGCUAAGCAAUAAAGAGUAAAGGAAAGUCUGUCGUGGAGUUUCUAGGGAAGGUAUGCCCACUACCAAGAAAAAGACGCAAAAUAGAUGGCCCUUUUGCUUUCUCCCUGUGUUGCUGUGUAAACUGGCAUAGGCAUCUUGUCUCCAGCCUUAGGAUGCAGCCACUGUGCAGGAGAGAGUAAGUAGCAGGUCCCAGAGAAGCACAGCUCAGAGCCCCACCCUUCCUCUGCACUUCCUGGCAUGUGAGAUGAUUAAUUUUCUCCCUGUUUAAGCCACUUUGAGUCAGGGUUUGAUAUCAUUUGCUGCCAAAGUGAUACAGGUGGAGAUUUAUUUAUGCAUCGCUUAUCUCCAAAAAGAGUUGAGGCAGACCGUGGGCUCACUCAGAUUUGAGCUGCCCGAUUCCUCUUCUGAUUCUCAUUCUGAUUCCAAGUAGAAUUCCUCUCUACUCUAUUUUCUAGGCAGAUGAAAGUAAUUUUAUUCUUUCUUCCAACUUCAAAGGAAGGAAUAACUAUUGAGACAUUUGGGGAAAAGGGGGAGUUCCUUGCUUUGGAGAUUGCCGGCUGAACCCAGGGAGCAAACAUCCUGGGCUGUCACUGAAGUGAGGACUGCUUUUAAAUGACACAGCACUGAAGACACUUCAUGCUUCUGCUUGUGAAAAGCCAAGCACUAGUUUUCACUCCCUCCUAGGACUGUGGAGGCUGAAAGGUCUGCCUGCAGACUUGGUAUGGUUUCUUCCGUCUUCCACCCUUUGUGCCUCCCAGACUUUGGGAAGUUUUGAAGAUGAAACAAGCUCCGGAAGUGCUUGGUGGUGUCAGGAAGACCAGAAUACAGGAGAAAGUACCCUGUUUGUUCCUGUAUUUUCCGGUCUGACUCAAGUAGCAAUGAUGUACUCUAUUUUUAUGAAUGGAAGGCCUUCAAAGCCUGUUCUAUACUAUAUAAAUGUAUGCCUUAUACUA